rnacentral:rRNA from 1 species
GACGAACGCUGGCGGCGUGCUUAACACAUGCAAGUCGAACGGUGACGGGGAGCUUGCUCCCCUGAUCAGUGGCGAACGGGUGAGUAACACGUGGGCAACCUGCCCCAGACUUCGGGAUAACGCUUCGAAAGAGGUGCUAAUACCGGAUACGAGCUCCCAGGGCAUCCUGGGGGCUGGAAAGUUUUUCGGUCUGGGAUGGGCCCGCGGCCUAUCAGCUUGUUGGUGAGGUAACGGCUCACCAAGGCGACGACGGGUAGCCGGCCUGAGAGGGCGACCGGCCACACUGGGACUGAGACACGGCCCAGACUCCUACGGGAGGCAGCAGUGGGGAAUUUUGGACGAUGGGGGCAACCCUGAUCCAGCCAUGCCGCGUGAGUGAAGAAGGCCUUCGGGUUGUAAAGCUCUUUCGGCGGGGAAGAAGUGGCAACGGCUAAUAUCCGUUGUUGAUGACGGUACCCGCAUAAGAAGCACCGGCUAACUAC